CUUAGUUGGCGCGGCAUGUAUUCUAGUUGCACAUAUAUUGGUAUUUAGUUGGCAGGAAGACUAGUUCGUCGAAACAUCCCCAUAUGGGAUCUACUUUUGAAGAGCACGUCGCGAGGGUUUCAACGGUGAAAACGGAUCUUAAUUCCGAAGCGCGAUCUAAAAGUUAUGACUUUUUAAAAAUUUGAAAACCCAAAAUAAAUGCGUUUACAUCUGUUCUUUGUAGUACUUUUUUAGUACGUGAUACUUUUUCUAAUUAGAAUUGUUUUAUCAAUUGGAAGGGACAAAUUACCUUUUAUGAUUAGGGACCAAAAUUGUCUGUUUUAGACCGGCCGCUCGGGACGACUAGCGAGCAGCCGGCCGCUCGCUAGAUCGGUCCAAAAACAAAUCUUAUCCAGUCCUCCACUAACCAUCGCCGCUGCGUUCCUCGUCUCCUCCCUCGCGCUGCCUCCUGACGAUGCCAGAUCGCCGUCGCCGACCUCCCAUCGCGGUUGCCCAUCGCCACCAAGCAGGCCUCGCGUCUUUCCUGCCACCAUGAGCCGCCACAGGAAGCAGUCCCCAACCUCCGGCACUGCCGCGACUCAUCUUCUAUCACGGGCACACGCCUCUCCGCCGUUGAGCGCCGCUCCCCUCAACCCCCCUCUCCCCGCUGAUUCGCCAGCGCGGCCUGGCGCCUUGCCUCCGGCGCACAAACCGUGCAAUGAGGCUUGUACGAGCUCAUGGCGGCUCCGCACGGCUGCGAAUCCUCGCACUGGGCCGAGAGGGCUCUGUCGCCGACGCAAGUGCCCAUCACAUGCAGGAAAUGCAGCCAAUUCAUUGUACAGAUGCAUCACUUUUUUGUGAUCCUGCUAGUCAAUCUCCGGUAUGAUGCUUGGAAUUUUGAUGAUUGGAGUGUUGAUCUGUACAGGAGUUUCGGCAUCUUGCUUAAGGAGCUGCGGCGAUUAGGAUUAGCGGUGGGUUUGUACGGUGAUUAGGAUUUUUAGUGGUGGGUUUGAGUUGGAUUUUCACGGUGACCUGUUCUAAUAAAGUCACUAUUGCUAUCGUUCAGGAACCUAUUUCGAUCCAUCUAUUCUUGUUUAGACUGCAAUUUUCUCGUUAAACAUGAUACUCUCUGUAGAGAUUCAUACGUUCGUUACAUUUUGUACCUCUUUUUUUCUUGUAAAUGCAUCUAUUUGGUUUCUAUGCUUUCUCGUAAGUUGCAUGCAUAUAAGUAACCAGUUGGCUAGUGUGUUGUAAUAGUUGCACAAGAAUGCAAACAUAGUUGGAUGAUGCAUAAACAUAUCUCAGUUGGCUAGCCAACUUAUGAAGUUGCACAAUGAGGGCUAACCAGUUGCACAAUCGAUGGUAUUCAGAUGGAUACACUGUGUAAACCAUGUUCAAGCAGUGUGUGUGGUUUUUUUGGUUGCACACUUAUAUGUGCCCUGUUGUCAAGGGUAUGUGUUCGUACAGGAGUUUGCAAGUCAAAGUCGUACAUAUCCUAGUUGGCUUAGCCACACUUAUGCAGUUGCACGGGGAAGGGCUAUCUAGUUGCACGGUUGACAACUAGUUUAGUUUUGAAUCCAGUGCCUAAAUCAUGUUCAGGCAAUGUGUAUGCUUAUUUUUUUGGUUGCACACUCAUGUGUGCCCAGUUGGCCAUAUAGUGCAUCAAGUUGCACAUAUUUUUUUGUUUUAUAGUUGUGUUUGAAAAAUUAGCAUGAGUUGCUUACCUCAUGGCAUUUUUUUAUAUCAAUUGUUUUUGCUCAUCUUUUCUCUUUUAUACAUUUGGUUGCUUCGACUAAUUUGUUUUUUCUGUUUUUUCACAGACCAAAAAUGGUUGUAGAAGGAGAUGUGGCUCCUAGUGAAGAUCAACCAAAAUGGAUGGCAGUGAGGCGGAGGGUUCUGCAAACCGUGCCGCUCAGCGAAAUUCUAAAAGGUCUGCUGAACGCCAACCACGCACUGGGGACAAUGACACGGAGGAACAUGAUGACCAGGGCGUCGAACAAUUCCGUGUAGUAAAACGUCAGAAACGGAAGGCGUCCACACAUGUUGUAGUUUGAGGGGCAGACGCUUCAUCUUCUGCAGCAGCUAAUGAGGACAUUGCAGAUGGACAAUGCUUUAGCGGACAUAUUGGAGUUGGCUUUGCUAAUUAACAAAGGAAGUGGCAUGGGUUAAGGACUUGAGUUGCUAAUCUGGUGAAUUGUAUUACCAUUGUAUGCUUCUCAAUGUCAGCCCACAAGGAGUCCAUUGAUCCUAUUGCCUAAUAUGACGAAUUCUACAUCUGAAAAAGGAUCAAUUCGAUGGUCUGAUAAUUAUACGUUCAAGGAGCUUCGUGUAGGAAUCGCUCCAAAAUCAGCGGAAUCCGCCAUGUCUACAUGUCUCUGACUCAAAAGGAAGUUCCUGCAGGAGCGGGUGCACAUGCUGCUAAGCUUAUAGGGCAGGGAGUACGUGGUACUAACUGAAAAUAAGGAUGAGGAGGUGGGUGAGCUGAGGGCGCCAAGGUGGACCCAAGUCCGGUCAGCGUUUAAGGAGGCACAUACCAACCUAUCAAACACUAACAGUCAUGUUGCACUUUAAGCUACAUAUGCUUCCAGAGAGGAGAAUUGUAAGUUCCUUCGCCCAGUGGCAAAGAGGAUGGGAGCGACAGGAAGCCUCCGAAGCCUUUGGACUGGCGCGACAUGAAUCCUGAAGGUUUUUAGUACAGCGGCAAAGAUCCAUGCUUCGCAGGUUAAACUGCUCCCUCGAGCGAUGAGCUUUUGGGCUGACGUUAUAUUUCCAAGCCGGCCCACUUAUAUCCACGUAAGGCAAGGCGGAGGCAGCCUGCGCUGGGCUCAAUGAAGCCGACCCACAUAAGGAGAGACAAAAAAUUACUAUUAUGCAUAAUAUAGUCCCACCUCGCCCCCUUACAUUAAAUCCUCCCAAUUUAUAUACGCCUUUAAGUUUUUCUUGUUGUCAAGCAGCCGUCACAUGAAUUAAUGAGCGAAGGGUGUGAGAACUAAGCGGCUCUCAUGGGGGACCAUUCAAAUCUGAGAGAGAAGAACAAUGGAAGGAAAGCCGAAUCUCUAAUUAAGUAAGGCAGGCUCUCAUGGGACCGUUCAAAUCUGACAGAAUAAUGAAGGAAGGAAAGCCAAAAAAGGAAUGAAAGGGAUGGAAUUGAUCAAAGCCAAAGGAGGAAAAAAUGAAAUCUCUAAUUGUUGAAGGAAUCCUGAUCGGACAUAGAAAAAAUUUAGCACUUUAAUUCCCGAUCAGCAUUGCAUAAUAUAUUAAUCAAAGGAGGAACACAUGCCCGUUGAAGAUCCUAUUACUAAUUGCAGUUUCGUUUCAUAAAAUUAGUAAAACAGAGAUUAAUCUCGCAAUUGGGAAGAGGAAGCAAGGGAAUAAGGAGAG